rnacentral:rRNA from 1 species
GAUGAACGCUGGCGGCGUGCCUAAUACAUGCAAGUCGAGCGAACGGACGAGAUGCUUGCUUUUCUGAUGUUAGCGGCGGACGGGUGAGUAACACGUGGAUAACCUACCUAUAAGACUGGGAUAACUUCGGGAAACCGGAGCUAAUACCGGAUAAUAUUUUGAACCGCAUGGUUCAAAAGUGAAAGACGGUCUUGCUGUCACUUAUAGAUGAAUCCGCGCUGCAUUAGCUAGUUGGUAAGGUAACGGCUUACCAAGGCAACGAUGCAUAGCCGACCUGAGAGGGUGAUCGGCCACACUGGAACUGAGACACGGUCCAGACUCCUACGGGAGGCAGCAGUAGGGAAUCUUCCGCAAUGGGCGAAAGCCUGACGGAGCAACGCCGCGUGAGUGAUGAAGGUCUUCGGAUCGUAAAACUCUGUUAUUAGGGAAGAACAUAUGUGUAAGUAACUGUGCACAUCUUGACGGUACCUAAUCAGAAAGCCACGGCUAACUACGUG